AAGCAAUUAGUUUAAUAAAACAUUUGAUUUCGGCUCAAAAACUUGCAGUUUAAAUCCGCAAUUGCUUU
rnacentral:tRNA from 1 species